AGUCAUUUUCGCGUUCUUCAAGUUCUCUCUCAUUCUCUCCCCCCUUCUGAGCUUAUUCGCGGGGCGAAACCAGGAGAAGAUGACGCAGGACGUGGAUACGAAGGAUCUCCCGUUCUUCAGCAUCUGAAAGAGAUGGGGACCUUGAUCGACACGGGGGCGUACACGAAGGAGGUACGCCGGAUCGUUCGUGCCGUCUGCCACACGAUCGGGCUGUGCCAGUCCUCUCGGCGUUCCUUCACCACAUCUUAGUGUCUGGGUCGGACGUCUUGGUUUGGUUGUGUUCCUACCUUCCGAAAGUGCUAUCCAUAGAAGUCCUAAAAGUGAAUCAACAAGUUAAGAGAGGAUUAGGAAUAACCGUAGUAGAUUCAUGGUGCCAAACGUUCUUAUAGUUUUAGGACAUUGCUUGUUGUUCACAUGAAAAGCUACUAUCUCGGCUUAUACCACUGCAUAUAUGGUCAGCCUAUUGAAGAUGCAAGGAGCACAUAUAAGAGGGGGAUGCUCAUGAGAAAGUGCACAUCUAUGUGCUUGCUGGAAUUUUUUUUUAACCCUCUUUAUUCAUGAGAGCUUUUGUGGAAUUUAUGCAUUUUUUGAGAAACUCAAAAUAAAUGAAACCUGUAUUAUAAUGGAAACCAGAUCCAGUAAUUUUUUGUGUUGUGAAUUCAAGGAAUUGGAAAGUUGCAGCUUAUCGA